GGCUGGUCCGAUGGUAGUGGGUUAUCAGAACUUAUUAACAUUAGUGUCACUAAAGUUGGUAUUCAACUCUCCACUGCUAAAUUUGACUGGCUUAAA
rnacentral:Y_RNA from 1 species